GAUUGAACCCCUAGCCUGGGAACCUCCAUAUGCUGCAUGUAUGGCCCUAAAAAGACCAAAAAAAAAAAAAGCACCUCACCCUCCAGACAGGAGCCCAGCUGAGCCCGGCAACCCUGCGCUCCCUACUCCCACCUCAUCCUUGGGUACCCAGCCUUGUGCUUCCUUGCCCCCCAAGUCCAAUACAUUUCCAGGUCCUGCUGAGUUAGCUCCUAACUAUGUGUCGAACUCAGCCCACGGUGACCUUGCUCGGCCCAAAGAGGAAUCUGACACUUUCGGCCCCUCAUUUGAAACAUAUUAGGGUCCCUCCACCAAGCGGGGGCACCAGGCACGGACCCCGGAUCACACCCCAGCCCUGCCACCACUCCUGCCUGGCUGACACCAGCCAGCCGCCUGCUCUCUCCGUGCUCCUGGUUCAGCAUGUGUGAAACGGGUAUGACGGUGUCUUCCCCGUGUUGUUAGGAGGCCCGAAUUAGCUCAUUCUGUUUCUGGAAGGGGCCCAAGACAGGGCCUGGCACACAGUAACUGCUGUAUACAUGUUUAUUAAAGUAAAUAACUUUCUAAUUUCCCGUUUGAUUUCUUUUUGACCACGGGUAAUUUAUAAAUGUUAGGUUCCAAGUUUUUGGGGUUUCCCAGACAUCUUUUUGUCAUUGGUUUCUAAUAUUUAAUUCCACUGUGGUUAGAGAACGUAUUUUGCAUGCUUUGCAUCCUUUCAAAUUUAUUGUCUUAUGGCCUAGAUUAUGGUCCUUCUUGCCAAAUGUUCUGUACACAAAAUAAUUAUGCUGAGGGAAAGAUGCCAGUCGUUUAUAUAAAAUUUUAGGCAAUGCAAACUAGUGGCAAAGUGGAGGGGGGGUUGCCUGGUGGGGUGAGGGGUGGGGAAGUGGGGAGGUAACCGCCAGAGGGAACUUCAGGUGAUGAAUCUUUUCAGUAUCUGGAUUGCAGGGGUGAUUUCACAGGUGUAUGUGCACACGUAUCAAAUGUACUCUAAACGUGAAGUAUAUUGCAUGUCCAUUACAGCUCAUAAAGGUUUUUUUUUAAUUGAUGUGCAGCAAUGACCUUGGAGAAAUGUUCAGCUUCAGGUUAUAAUGAUGUCAGAAGAUUGAGUGGUGCACACUUUGGAGAACGCGGUACCGUUGACGUCGAGGAGGCUGUCUGUUGCUGCACAGCUCAAGAUCAGACCCAGGACCGGCGGCCACCUACCCUCUCUGCGCAGAAGGAAGAGCAGAGCGUUUGAAGGUAGCAGAUUUGGCCAAACAGCCUCCAGACCAAUGUCACCAAUCAACACUCCAGGCAGAGGCCGUUUCUCUACGUUAGCCUAACGCUG